rnacentral:rRNA from 1 species
AUGAACGCUGGCGGCGUGCCUAAUACAUGCAAGUCGCGCGAACAGACGAGGAGCUUGCUCCUCUGACGUUAGCGGCGGACGGGUGAGUAACACGUGGAUAACCUACCUAUAAGACUGGGAUAACUUCGGGAAACCGGAGCUAAUACCGGAUAAUAUAUUGAACCGCAUGGUUCAAUAGUGAAAGACGGUUUUGCUGUCACUUAUAGAUGGAUCCGCGCCGCAUUAGCUAGUUGGUAAGGUAACGGCUUACCAAGGCAACGAUGCGUAGCCGACCUGAGAGGGUGAUCGCCCCCACAGGAACUGAGACACGGCCCAGACCCCUACGGGAGGCAGGAGUAGGGAAUCUUCCGAAAUGGGCGAAACCCUGACGGAGCAACGCCGGGGGGGUGAUGAAGGUCUUCGGAUCGUAAAACUUUUUUUUUAGGGAAAAAAAAAUGUGUAAGUAACUAUGCACGUUUUGACGGUACCUAAUCAGAAAGCCCCGGCUAACUACGG